rnacentral:SRP_RNA from 1 species
GCCUGGCAUAGUGGCACACGCUUGUGGUCCCAGAUACUGGGGAGGCUGAGGCAGGCGGAUCGCUUGAAUCCAGGAGUUCCGAGCUGUAGGACGCUAUGCUGAUCGUGUGUCCACACUAAAUUAGUCAUCAAUAUAGUGACCUCCCAGGAGCAGGAUGGGUGAACUGCUCAAGACAGAAACGGAGCCUGUUGAAAACUUCCAUGCUGAUCAGUAGCAGGGUCACGCCUGUGAGGAGCCACUGCACCCCAGCCUGGGCAACAUAGCAAGACCUCGCUCUA